rnacentral:miRNA from 1 species
UGUGACCUCAACAUAUGUGUUU